rnacentral:tRNA from 1 species
GGGCCAGUAGCUCAGGUGGUUAGAGCAUCGUUCUUAUAAAGCGGGGGUCGGAGGUUCGAGUCCUCCCUGGCCCACCA